rnacentral:misc_RNA from 1 species
GAUGAAGAACGUAGCGAAAUGCGAUACUUGGUGUGAAUUGCAGAAUCCCGUGAACCAUCGAGUCUUUGAACGCAAGUUGCGCCCGAAGCCAUUAGGCCGAGGGCACGCCUGCCUGGGUGUCACACGUCGUUGCCCCCCCAUCUACUCCUUCGGGAUUGCGGGGGGCGGAUGAUGGCCUCCCGUGCGCCUCGUCGCGCGGUUGGCAUAAAUGCCAAGUCCUCGGCGACGCACGCCACGACAAUCGGUGGUUGCGAAACCUCGGUUGCCCGUCGUGUGCGGUCGUCGCGCAUCGAGGGCUCGAAAAAAUUGCCGGGCUCCGGCUCGGCUUUCAACGCGACCCCAGGUCAGGCGGGGUUACCCGCUGAAUUUAAGCAUAUCAAAAGCGGAGGA